AAUCAACGCUGGCGGCGUGCCUCAGACAUGCAAGUCGAACGAUUAAAGCUCUCUUCGGAGAGUGCAUAAAGUGGCGCACGGGUGAGUAACACGUAAGUAAUCUACCCUCGAGUGGGGAAUAACGUCCGGAACGGACGCUAAUACCGCAUAAUGCAGCGGCAUCGCAAGAUGACAGUUGUUAAAGAUUUAUCGCUUGAAGAGGAGCUUGCGGCAGANAGCUAGUUGGUAAGGUAAUGGCUUACCAAGGCUACGAUCUGUAACCGGUCUAAGAGGACGGUCGGUCACACUGACACUGAAUAACGGGUCAGACUCCUACGGGAGGCAGCAGUCGGGAAUUUUGGGCAAUGGGCGAAAGCCUGACCCAGCAACGCCGCGUGAAGGAUGAAGUAUUUCGGUAUGUAAACUUCGAAAGAAUGGGAAGAAUAAAUGACGGUACCAUUUAUAAGGUCCGGCUAACUACGUGCCAGCAGCCGCAGUAAG
rnacentral:rRNA from 1 species